GGGUCCUUAGGCUUUCGACUACAUCUAUCCGAAGAAUGUCCGACCGUUUUACAAAUACCACAAAAAUAUGGCAUAGACUCGUAACCAAAUUCCACCUCCAAAGCCACGUUGCCACGUGCCACCGAAAGGUGAGUGGGAGUAACCUUAGAAACAUCAAUCUCGACCAGGACACGCGCGAAGUGUCCUACAGCAGCAGAAAAAGUAAGACCAUCAAGCUUAAUUGGCGUGCCAACCGAACGUGCAAUGCCCGUAAUAACUUCCGGAUGCCAACAUUCAUGCGGCAAGUAAUAAAUUCGGAGCCAAACAAGGGCAAUAGUAGAAGACUCCUUAUACGGAUCAAAAAGAGGCGUCCAAUCACGGAUGCGAAUAAGUCCAACGGAAAGCUUCCAUGAAAGUUUGGAGCGAGCAGUAAGCAUAUCCGAUUCCCUACUAAAUUGAAGCGUAAAAAACCCUUUUCCCAGAGUGACAACGCGAAACCGGCUAUCCAAACGCCACAAAGACGAGAGUUCCUUCUGAAUAUCCGAAGAAGUCCGAGGAAGACUACCUUUAGGUAAAAGUAACUUCGCAUGAAGCGCAAAACGAAGCUCAUGCAACUGUUGUUGAUAAAUAGAAUCAGGAAUAUGUAACACCAUCUUUUCCCCAGUAGUAUGCGGAUGGAGCGCACAAAAAUUUUGUGCUAAGACAUCAGGGGGUUUCGGCGAAAAAACCCUAGCCGCGGAGGCGUAAGUUCGUCGAGGGUUAGUAACAGGCUUACCCUUAAUGAUUGGUGAUUGCUCAUGAGGGGUAGAGUUCACCGGCGAAAUAGUCUUCCCAAUAUCAGAUCCAGGGAGGGUCGAUCUAGGGACCGAAGCAUCAGCAGAGAUAGCGUUCGGGACAAUAACCAAUUCACGGGAAAGGUUAGGCGGAACAGAGGAAGAGGAAGCCAUGAAAACCAUCCCCGGAGAAAACCAGGCAGAGAUAAGUCAAAAGGUAGAUUUGAGCACUGUAUCAGCAAGAUCCAACCUAUCCGAGAGCGGCGGACGUGUGGGAGCUGCGCUGCUGGUCUGGGUCGUCUUCGCCGGAAAAGUAAACGCAGCGGAGGAUCCUUGAGAAGAAGAGCAGACGAGGAGCUGCAGCUAGGCGUAAUGUCGGUCAAAGGGGGAUCCACCUUAGCCGAGAGGGACGGGCGGCAGGCUCGCGACGGCGGCGAGCAGCAGCGCGGUGGGAGAAGGUGUGAGGCGACGAGCGACGACCAGAUCCCCUUUCGACAGGCGAGGAGCGUGCAGAUCUCCUGAGCAGAUGCAGUCCGAUUGAAGGCGGCGGCCGUUGCGGGUCGAUGGAAAUGGCCGCUGAGUGCACGGAGGAGGCGCAGAUUCCUUGCGCCGGUGGCUUAAUGGCUCACGGAGACGCGCUGGGUCUCAGCUACAGCAGCUUUUUCCUCUAUGCUACAGUAGCAUAAUUCUCUCAGCUACAGUAGCUUUUUCUCUCAUCCGAGUCAUCUCCCACUCACCAAUGCCAAAACAAAAAUCUCAAGAUGUAUGAGUUCUUACUAAGCAAUAAAGUUGAGAUACUAAAGAUUCUUCUCAAUGGAAAAGUACUUAAUUUCAAUGUUUGAUUAACAUUUUGUAAUAUAUAUAUAGGGGGCCGUUCCAAUGAGAUCCCCUAAUUUUAGUGAGAUCUAGGGCACGAUCUGGUGGAUUUAUUUUAUCAAUUCUAUGGCUGAUAUUGUAUCUGAAGGGUGAUUUUUUUUCGCAGGGUUCGAAUCCUGGAGGUAGCUGAAUAUUUUAAAUUUUGUUAUUCAUCAGUAUAUACUGCAUUGUUCAUCAGUAUAUACGACCCUGUUCAUCAGUAUAUAUGUCUUAUUCAUUACGAAUUUUUUUANAAACCCCAAUAACAUUCUGAAGGGAGGUUAGUUGCUCAUAUAAACCAGACAAAGCAACGUUGAAAUUUCCAAAAGUCUCUUUAUUCCAAGUCUUCAAGUCUUUGCGCAGCCGCUUGAGUUUGCGCAUUACCCGCACCAUAGGGCAACGAACAUCAAUCUCCAGAGACCAGGAAUGUUUCACCAAAUCCAAAAAGCCCUCGUGAGAACACACAUAUUCAGGAACGAAAAAGUUUUUGAGCAUGCACCUAGAGAAAACGAACAAUUGAGAAUAAUAGGUGAAUGGUCAGAACCCACUCUCGGAAGAACACGAUAACUGAUAUUAUCCCAAUAAUCAGAAAACGAAGCGGAAACGAGAACACGAUCUAAAACCGACUCCGUGGUGACAGGAAAGCGACGCCUAUCAGUCCAAGUGAAAAUUGGCCCAGCAGAUACAGGCUGAAAAAGCAUAUUAUCAUCAAUAAAAUCCCGAAACUCCCGACAAGCAAUAUUACUAGGAUUACGCCGACCCCUACGCUCAUGUGCCCCCAGUAGAGCAUUAAAGUCACCAAUGACAACAAGGCUACCAGUAGAGUAGCAUGCUAAAUCUUCCCAAAGUAAACGACGCGAGAUAUAAUUACAACUCGCAUGUACAAACGCCGCAAAGAAAGAGAACCCCGGAAUCCCAACCUCAAGCACCACUGCUUGAUCCGAGGAAAAGACAACUUUAGUGUUUACUGUCGGAGAAGCAAAAAUCCAAAUAUUGGGAGCAUGCACGCCUCUAUCAUUUUGAUGCACCGGUCGGACAUUGAUUGAAUGCCAAAAAGAAGACUGUGUACGAUUAAAAGAUGUCUUGGGCUCAAAGAUUCCAACAAGUGAAGGGGAAUGAGUAACACAAUGAUUGUGUAAAAGAUUACGGGCAGUAGAAAAGCCCCUAAUAUUCCAUGCAAAGAUAUUCAUUGUAAAAACAACAUACCAUCGUCCUCAUUACGAGGAUUAUCAUCACGAUGCGCAGCAUCUUCCGCGUCCAUAAUAUCACUCCAACGUUCGCCAACCACCGCAUCCAUAAUUUGCAAAAAUGGUCGUUGGGAAGAAGUAGUAUAAGCAUGCAGCGGCAUACCAUUAGCAUUGGCUUCACGGACUAAAUUUAAAAAAGCCUUGGGCCGGGCAUUAGGUGUUUCAGCUCUCUGUUCCUCUUCAGCACGCGCAACCCGUUUUGCAUCAAUAUGGCGCCGCAAAUCCCAUUGAUCUUCAGAGGAAAACCCACGAUCAAAGCUUGUUGCGCUGCCCGUAUUACCCUCAUAAACAUUGUCAGCAGGAGGAUCUGAUCGAGAACCAGAAGCAUUAGAGUUGACCCUAGCCAAAGCUGACGAGAGCCGACUCUGAGCGUCCCUAACAGAAGCCAAAUCAGGCCCCAAUUGAUCUUGUGUAGCCAAGGAAAACCCACUCCAGGUGAUUGAACUAAAACCUGAGAGGGAGAAUUGCGCCCGACAUCUGUUUGAUGAAAUUCCCCAACUGUAGAGAGCAAUUGAACCUGCCCCUUAGCCAAAACCGAGCAACCAUCUUUGGCCGUGGGUGUAAUGGUAAUAGCUAAAUUGCCGUCCGUUUGAUCCUGAGGUAAGCUGUUUUCUCUGGCCGAGGGAGAGCGAUCCACCCCAGUCUUUUGAACAACUUGUGUAUUCCCAGCAGAAGUGUGUAACUCGGGCUGAUUCCUUGUAUUUUUAGGAGAUGAAAUACCCGUUUUAGGAGCCUUGUGCCCGACGUCGGCCUGAAGCGGUCGCUCAGUUUCCUCAGAAAUCAUCUCCGUAUCCGAUUCCUCCCCAAGAACCUCAAAACCAUUCUGACUAGUGGUGACAGGAGCAUUAGAUAUAUUAUUCCAUCGUUGGGUUUGACGCCAAUGUUUUUUACCUUGCACCGGACGAAAAUCAUCCUCUAAAACCGCAGCAGGAGGAACCGACGCAUGAGUAUCAGUAGGAACCGAAGUAGAGACCUUGUUGGGAACCGCAGUCUCCACAGAGCUGGGGUCCUUAGGCUUUCGACUACAUCUAUCCGAAGAGUGUCCGACCGUUUUACAAAUACCACAAAAAUAUGGCAUAGACUCGUAACCAAAUUCCACCUCCAAAGCCACGUUGCCACGUGCCACCGAAAGGUGAGUGGGAGUAACCUUAGAAACAUCAAUCUCGACCAGGACACGCGCGAAGUGUCCUACAGCAGCAGAAAAAGUAAGACCAUCAAGCUUAAUUGGCG
rnacentral:lncRNA from 1 species